AGCCUCCUGGUGCUAAACAGAGUCUGUGUUCUUUACACCGACUAUAGGAAGAGGAAGGAAGUAAUUCCACCCCAUUAUACACCUCAGCCAGGACCUUUGCCUGAUCUACAUUGUUAAUGGAGAUAUAGGG